rnacentral:rRNA from 1 species
UACAGAGGUCCCAAGCGUUGUUCGGAUUCAUUGGGCGUAAAGGGUGCGUAGGCGGCGCGGUAAGUCGGGUGUGAAAUCUCGGAGCUUAACUCCGAAACUGCAUUCGAUACUGCCGUGCUUGAGGACUGGAGAGGAGACUGGAAUUUACGGUGUAGCGGUGAAAUGCGUAGAUAUCGUAAGGAAGACCAGUGGCGAAGGCGGGUCUCUGGACAGUUCCUGACGCUGAGGCACGAAGGCCAGGGGAGCAAACGGG